UAAAAGUAAUGACAAAAACUGCAGUUACUUUUGCACCA
rnacentral:miRNA from 13 species